rnacentral:rRNA from 1 species
AUUGAACGCUGGCGGCAGGCCUAACACAUGCAAGUCGAGCGGAUGAAGGGAGCUUGCUCCUGGAUUCAGCGGCGGACGGGUGAGUAAUGCCUAGGAAUCUGCCUGGUAGUGGGGGCUAACGUCCGGACACGGGCGCUAAUACCGCAUCCGUCCUGAGGGAGAAAGUGGGGGAUCUUCGGACCUCACGCUAUCAGAUGAGCCUAGGUCGGAUUAGCUAGUUGGUGGGGUAAAGGCCUACCAAGGCGACGAUCCGUAACUGGUCUGAGAGGAUGAUCAGUCACACUGGAACUGAGACACGGUCCAGACUCCUACGGGAGGCAGCAGUGGGGAAUAUUGGACAAUGGGCGAAAGCCUGAUCCAGCCAUGCCGCGUGUGUGAAGAAGGUCUUCGGAUUGUAAAGCACUUUAAGUUGGGAGGAAGAGCAGUAAGUGAAUACCUUGCUGUUUUGACGUUACCAACAGAAUAAGCACCGGCUAACUUCGUG